rnacentral:rRNA from 1 species
UACGGGGGGAGCAAGCGUUGUUCGGAUUUACUGGGCGUAAAGGGCGCGUAGGCGGCCAGCACAAGUCAGUUGUGAAAUCUCCGAGCUUAACUCGGAACGGUCAACUGAUACUGUGCGGCUAGAGUGCAGAAGGGGCAACUGGAAUUCCCGGUGUAGCGGUGAAAUGCGCAGAUAUCGGGAGGAACACCGGUGGCGAAGGCGGUUCUCUGGGCCUGUACUGACGCUGAGGAGCGAAAGCGUGGGGAGCGAACAGG